AUUGAACGCUGGCGGCAUGCUUUACACAUGCAAGUCGAACGGCAGCGCGGGCUUCUGCCUGGCGGCGAGUGGCGAACGGGUGAGUAAUGCAUCGGAACGUGCCCAGCAGUGGGGAUAGCCCGGCGAAAGCCGGAUUAAUACCGCAUACGACCUGAGGGUGAAAGCGGGGGACCGAAAGGCCUCGCGCGAUUGGAGCGGCCGAUGUCGGAUUAGCUAGUUGGGAGGGUAAAGGCUUACCAAGGCGACGAUCCGUAGCUGGUCUGAGCGGACGACCAGCCACACUGGGACUGAGACACGGCCCAGACUCCUACGGGAGGCAGCAGUGGGGAAUUUUGGACAAUGGGGGCAACCCUGACCCAGCCAUGCCGCGUGCGGGAAGAAGGCCUUCGGGUUGUAAACCGCUUUUGUUCGGGAAGAACUCCUCUGGGCUAAUACCCCGGGGGGAUGACGGUACCGGAAGAAUAAGCACCGGCUAACUACGUG
rnacentral:rRNA from 1 species